rnacentral:rRNA from 1 species
AAUCAUUUGUCUUUUAAAUGAAGACUUGUAUGAACGGCAAAACCUCCUCCAACUGUCUCCCCUCCCAUCCUUCCAAAUUUCCUCCUGUGUGAAGAAGCACAGAUACACCAGAAAGACGAGAAGACCCUGUCGAGCUUUAACCACUAAGUGGGCCUCACCCUUUCAGGCACCACCCAAAGGUUUUGGUUGGGGCAACCACGGAGAAAAAACAUCCUCCAGAACGAAUAGAAGAAAGCUUUUCACUAUUAUUACGAUUAAGAACCAGGAACUGGUAUUCGGAAAGAGUUACCGCAGGGAUAACAGCGUCAUCUCCUCUAAGAGUCCUUAUUGACGAGGAGGUUUGCGACCUCGAUGUUGGAUUGGGGCCCCCUUAGGGUGCAGAAGCUCUAAACGGUUAGACUGUUCGUCUAUUAAAGCCCUACAUGAUCUGAGUUCAAACCGGAG